rnacentral:lncRNA from 1 species
ACACACACACACACACACACACACACAAACGUGUAUACUCCUUUUUAUGUUGCGUUAAACAUUUAAGUGUGUGUGUGUGUGUGUGUAGCGCUGGUGGAGGUGUAUCUCUCCUGUGAUUUGCUCUUUGUGGGGGAGAAUGGUUGGGGGAGAGGAGCCUGCACUGCUACACCUACUGAACACCUGCCACGAAUGGGCCAAUGGGUAAAACACACACAAACACACUCUAUGUGCCCUCUACUCUUCGGUAGAGUAUUACUCGCAGAGUUAGUGUGAAAAUCAAAUGAGCAUUGUAAAGCAUUAUAGAGCACACCCUUCACUUCCUGUAGAGUAUCGCAGUGUAUCAGAAUGAUUGCGUGGAUUGUACAAGAUUGCCCAUUAUAGGGUCAAUUUACCUACAUUGUAGCUCCUGUAUUGUACUACAGUCUAGUUUUAGAAGUAUUAUAGCGCUUUGAAAGGAAAUAGUAGAACUCAUGUAGAAUAUCAUGUGUUGCAGGUCUGCAGACGGUCUGUUAGCUGUUCCCUCGGCUCCUGCUCCGCUCCUGGCUGUGUGUUUAUACACUACGUUCCAAAAGCAGGGUGGUGACACUAAGCAUAUUACAGCAAACCUUCCACUAUCUGACCACAACCGAGAGGUGCUGGUUUACCUGCUGUUCUUCUAUUUAACAGACUUCCUCUCAGCGCACCUGAAACCCCAGGUUGAUAAGGUUUUGAAUCACUCCAAAGAUGUCAGCGUCCACCUUUUGACCCUGUUGGUAGAUUAUUUUGAUUGGCUUUCACUUUUCCACCAAUCACAAUCUGGUAUGGGAAGUUUUAUACAGAAUAUAAGCACAUUUCAUAGAUAAGGGUCAGUUGAACAGGAGCUCUGUUUUCACUCCUCUUUCUCUCCACAGAGCACAUCAUCUACCGCUGCAUCGCCAAGCUGACCCCGGAUACACUCCUCCGACUGAUGCCUUUUGCCCUUUUCAGGUACAGCAGCAGGUGGAGCUUUUCAGCUCUUUAACAGAUAUCACUCUUUACAGGAUCAGAGG